rnacentral:lncRNA from 1 species
CUCCUUGCAUUGUAAAAAAAAAAAGUAUUGUCUCAUUGUAGCUGUUUACAAUAAUAAACAAGGAAUCUAUUCAAAUGAAUUCAAUUAUAAUUACCAAUGAAACUGAGAAAAUCAAGAAACUUCAAAGAACCAACGGUAUGAAUAUAAACCAACAAGAAUAUGAUGAUAAUCCUGUAGUGAAGGAAAUUUUCUAAUUGUCUAUUGAUUGAGAUUUGAGACCAAGGAAAGGAACUAUGAUUACAAUUACAACACAAUUUGCCACAACAAUUCCAAGGCAUGCAGAUUAUUCAGUUUAAAUGUUUAAUAAAAUAAAAAAAUGACACUCAUACUCAUUCAAAUCAACUGAGAUUACACAUGCAAGUUAUUGCCUCACAAUGUAUCAUUUAUAUUCUUGAAAGUUUACAUGACCAGUUGCUUGGGCGUGCUCCGCUGCCU